GCCGGGGUGGCGGAACUGGUAGACGCGCCGGACUCAAAAUCCGGUUCUGGCAACAGAGUGAGAGUUCGAGUCUCUCUCCCGGCACCA
rnacentral:tRNA from 1 species